rnacentral:misc_RNA from 1 species
AACUGAUACUACCUGCGGGAACCUGCGGAGGGAUCAUUACUGAAGUGAUUUGGGGAUGUUGCUGGCCCUCUCUCAAGGGGGGGCACAGUGCACUCCUCGAAACAAUUCACAAUUUCCAUCACACCCCUUGUGCACACCUUGUAGGCACCCAAACCCACCUCCGGGUGGUGGGGUCCUAUGUAUUCCUUCAUCUCACACUCUGUUGAAUGGUGCCAUGGGACGCAUCUAAAGGAUUAUUUG